ACUCCUACGGGAGGCAGCAGUGGGGAAUUUUGGACAAUGGGGGCAACCCUGAUCCAGCAAUGCCGCGUGAGUGAAGAAGGCCUUCGGGUUGUAAAGCUCUUUUGUCAGGGAAGAAACGGUCUGGGCUAAUAUCCCGGGCUAAUGACGGUACCUGAAGAAUAAGCACCGGCUAACUACGUGCCAGCAGCCGCGGUAAUACGUAGGGUGCAAGCGUUAAUCGGAAUUACUGGGCGUAAAGCGUGCGCAGGCGGUUAUGUAAGACAGAUGUGAAAUGCCCGGGCUCAACCUGGGAACUGCAUUUGUGACUGCAUGGCUAGAGUGUGUCAGAGGGGGGUAGAAUUCCACGUGUAGCAGUGAAAUGCGUAGAUAUGUGGAGGAAUACCGAUGGCGAAGGCAGCCCCCUGGGAUAACACUGACGCUCAUGCACGAAAGCGUGGGGAGCAAACAGGAUUAGAUACCCUGGUAGUCCACGCCCUAAACGAUGUCUACUAGUUGUCGGGUCUUAAUUGACUUGGUAACGCAGCUAACGCGUGAAGUAGACCGCCUGGGGAGUACGGUCGCAAGAUUAAAACUCAAAGGAAUUGACGG
rnacentral:rRNA from 1 species